rnacentral:rRNA from 1 species
UGCGCAGGCGGUCUGUUAAGUCAGAGGUGAAAUAUAUCGGCUCAACCGGCAAAUGGCCCCUGAAACUGCCAGACUUGAGUCCGAGAGAGGUAGGUGGAAUUCCAGGUGUAGCGGUGAAAUGCGUAAAUAUCUGGAGGAACACCAGUGGCGAAGGCGGCCUACUGGCUCGGAACUGACGCUCAGGCACGAAAGCUAGGGGAGCGAACAGGAUUAGAUACCCUGGUAGUCC